UCAGCCCCGUCUGUCCGUGUCUCCUGAAGUUCUCACAGAGAGAGGAUCAGUGCAGAUUCACUGUCAUGUUCCAGACAAUGUUAAAGUGUCUCAGUGUCAGUUCUACCCAGAGAGAGACAACACAAAUCUAAAACUCUCUCCAUCAUGUCAGCUCUCAGUCUCUGGUUCUGAACUGAUCUGGUGGACAGGACGAAGUUCUCCUGGAACACUUCAUAUUACUUGUUACUACGCUUUGGAUAACUCUGUUCGUACUCCUUCUCCUCACUCUCUCCCAGCUCCAGUCACAGUGCGGUAUCAGAAACCGAGACUAAGCGUCAGUCAUGAUGGUCAGUUUGAUGAAUUGAGAUUUGUGUGUGAAAUAUCAGGGUCAGAGUCAGUAACUGCUGAUUUUAGCUGUAAUCUCUACACUGGAGAAAAUCCUCAGCUUUUCCUAAUCCAAAGAUCUCAAAACGGAAAAUCUGUGAAGGUUUGUAUUUUUACAGCACAGAGAGACGCUGUGUUUAAUCGUCUGCAGUCAGUAAAGAGUCGUGAAGUGAGCUGUGAUUAUUCACUGAUCUCUGACCCGACUGUUCGCUCUCUAAUGAGUGAUAAACACAACAUGAUGCGUAAGUUAUAAUAAACAAAUUAUGUAUUCCAUUACUUUAUACCUUUGAAUAAUUUGAACUCAUUUUCACUUCAUCUUUUGUCAGAUUUCUUUACAACAACAACAACGACUCAGACAUCCACUCCUGAAGAGAAACCCAGUGCAGAUUUGAGUCUGGUAACGACGCCACCAUCCACAGCUACGGAGGAAUCUACAGCAGCUUCUCCAGUUUUUUCAACUCCUCUGAUCACCACAAGACACACAGCGACUCGAUCGCUGCCUACCGUACUGUUAGUCACCGGUGUGUGUGUUUUACUGGCUGGACUGAUGAGCUUCUGUCUCUGCGUGUGUAUAUCUGUGUGGAUUAUCUUCAGCAGAUGUAAAUUGAACACGACCCACCGUGAUCAGGACGGUGAUGAGGUUUACACAGAGGUGAUGUACACACUCUUCUCUCAGCAGUUCUCAGAGGAAACACAGCUCCUUUCAGCUUCCUCUGAAUGAUGGACACUGAACAGCUUCUGUCUUCUGUCUCAGUUUAAAGUCUGAACUCAAUAAACUCUUAUUUGUUAAAUAACACAAAUGUUCCUAACAAUUCAUUUGAUUCUCAUGAAUGCUUGUCACAGUCUGCCUUUAUCAUGAACCGUGUGUUUUCUAAAGGAAAUCUGCAGGGUGAACUAUUUUACUGUUGAAUUUGAAACGCACAAUAAAUCAUUUAAUCAGAGAUGCACUUUAAAUCAUCCGAGUAUUGCUUCUUUAUCUUUUAUCUUCUUAUACAGCCUAUCUGUGUGGA